rnacentral:rRNA from 1 species
GACGAACGCUGGCGGCGUGCUUAACACAUGCAAGUCGAACGGAAAGGCCCUGCUUUUGUUGGGUGCUCGAGUGGCGAACGGGUGAGUAACACGUGAGUAACCUGCCCUUGACUUUGGGAUAACUUCAGGAAACUGGGGCUAAUACCGGAUAGGAGCUCCUGCUGCAUGGUGGGGGUUGGAAAGUUUCGGCGGUUGGGGAUGGACUCGCGGCUUAUCAGCUUGUUGGGGGGGUAGUGGCUUACCAAGGCUUUGACGGGUAGCCGGCCUGAGAGGGUGACCGGCCACAUUGGGACUGCGAUACGGCCCAGACUCCUACGGGAGGCAGCAGUGGGGAAUAUUGCACAAUGGGCGGAAGCCUGAUGCAGCAACGCCGCGUGCGGGAUGACGGCCUUCGGGUUGUAAACCGCUUUCGCCUGUGACGAAGCGUGAGUGACGGUAAUGGGUAAAGAAGCACCGGCUAACUACGUG